rnacentral:rRNA from 1 species
GUAGGGUCCAAGCGUUAAUCGGAAUUACUGGGCGUAAAGCGUGCGCAGGCGGUUGUGCAAGACCGAUGUGAAAUCCCCGGGCUUAACCUGGGAAUUGCAUUGGUGACUGCACGGCUAGAGUGUGUCAGAGGGGGGCAGAAUUCCACGUGUAGCAGUGAAAUGCGUAGAGAUGUGGAGGAAUACCGAUGGCGAAGGCAGCCCCCUGGGAUAACACUGACGCUCAUGCACGAAAGCGUGGGGGGAGCAAACAGGAUUAGAUACCCUGGUAGUCCACGCCCCUAAACGAUGUCAACUAGUUGUUGGGGAUUCAUUUCCUUAGUAACGUAGCUAACGCGUGAAGUUGACCGCCUGGGAGUACGGUCGCAAGAUUA